rnacentral:snoRNA from 1 species
AAGACUAUUCUUUCAGAGACCAUUUUUAUAGUUCAGUACAAGAGAAGUUUCUCUGAGCAAAUCACCAAAGCCACAAUGUAGGGGUGCAAAGUUCUAUUCUGAGUGUGAAGUUGGUCUCUGGGUGUUGCUAUGUGUGGCCUCUCUUAGACAUUGAUGACAUUCUUCUUUUUUUCUUUUAGGAUUAGAGAGGAGGAGAAUGAAGUAUAUAUGG